AAGUAUUCCUCUUUGUCCAUUUGAAAUGUUAGGAGGCAUGCUAAUAUAUAUAUAUAUAUAUAUAUAUAUAUAUAUAUAUAUAUAUAUAUAGCAUGCCUCCUAACAUUUCAAAUGGACAAAGAGGAAUACUU
rnacentral:miRNA from 1 species